rnacentral:rRNA from 1 species
AUUGAACGCUGGCGGCAGGCCUAACACAUGCAAGUCGAGCGGAUGAAGGGAGCUUGCUCCUGGAUUCAGCGGCGGACGGGUGAGUAAUUCCUAGGAAUCUGCCUGGUAGUGGGGGAUAACGUCCGGAAACGGGCGCUAAUACCGCAUACGUCCUGAGGGAGAAAGGGGGGGAUCUUCGGACCUCACGCUAUCAGAUGAGCCUAGGUCGGAUUAGCUAGUUGGUGGGGUAAAGGCCUACCAAGGCGACGAUCCGUAACUGGUCUGAGAGGAUGAUCAGUCACACUGGAACUGAGACACGGUCCAGACUCCUACGGGAGGCAGCAGUGGGGAAUAUUGGACAAUGGGCGAAAGCCUGAUCCAGCCAUGCCGCGUGUGUGAAGAAGGUCUUCGGAUUGUAAAGCACUUUAAGUUGGGAGGAAGGGCAGUAAGUUAAUACCUUGCUGUUUUGACGUUACCAACAGAAUAAGCACCGGCUAACUUCGUG